rnacentral:rRNA from 1 species
UACGAAGGGGGCUAGCGUUGCUCGGAUUGACUGGGCGUAAAGGGCGCGUAGGCGGUUCGUACAGUCAGACGUGAAAUUCCUGGGCUCAACCUGGGGGCUGCGUUUGAUACGUGCGGACUUGAGUGCGGAAGAGGGUCGUGGAAUUCCCAGUGUAGAGGUGAAAUGCGUAGAGAUCGGGAGGAACACCAGAGGCGAAGGCGGCGACCUGGAUAGGAACUGACACUCAACUACGAAAGCGUGGGUAGCAAACAGG